rnacentral:rRNA from 1 species
UGCAAGUCGAGCGGGGAAAGGUAGCUUGCUACCUGACCUAGCGGCGGACGGGUGAGUAAUGCUUAGGAAUCUGCCUAUUAGUGGGGGACAACAUUCCGAAAGGAAUGCUAAUACCGCAUACGCCCUACGGGGGAAAGCAGGGGAUCUUCGGACCUUGCGCUAAUAGAUGAGCCUAAGUCAGAUUAGCUAGUUGGUGGGGUAAAGGCCUACCAAGGCGACGAUCUGUAGCGGGUCUGAGAGGAUGAUCCGCCACACUGGAACUGAGACACGGUCCAGACUCCUACGGGAGGCAGCAGUGGGGAAUAUUGGACAAUGGGCGAAAGCCUGAUCCAGCCAUGCCGCGUGUGUGAAGAAGGUCUUCGGAUUGUAAAGCACUUUAAGUUGGGAGGAAGGGCCGUUACCUAAUACGUGAUGGUUUUGACGUUACCGACAGAAUAAGCACCGGCUAACUCUGUGCCAGCAGCCGCGGUAAUACAGAGGGUGCAAGCGUUAAUCGGAAUUACUGGGCGUAAAGCGCGCGUAGGUGAUUUGUUAAGUUGGAUGUGAAGUCCCCGGGCUCAACCUGGGAACUGCAUUCAAAACUGACUGACUAGAGUAUGGUAGAGGGUGGUGGAAUUUCCUGUGUAGCGGUGAAAUGCGUAGAUAUAGGAAGGAACACCAGUGGCGAA